rnacentral:rRNA from 1 species
UUGAACGCUGGCGGCAGGCCUAACACAUGCAAGUCGAACGGUAACAGGAAGCAGCUUGCUGCUUUGCUGACGAGUGGCGGACGGGUGAGUAAUGUCUGGGAAACUGCCCGAUGGAGGGGGAUAACUACUGGAAACGGUAGCUAAUACCGCAUAACGUCGCAAGACCAAAGAGGGGGACCUUAGGGCCUCUUGCCAUCGGAUGUGCCCAGAUGGGAUUAGCUAGUAGAUGGGGUAACGGCUCACCUAGGCGACGAUCCCUAGCUGGUCUGAGAGGAUGACCAGCCACACUGGAACUGAGACACGGUCCAGACUCCUACGGGAGGCAGCAGUGGGGAAUAUUGCACAAUGGGCGCAAGCCUGAUGCAGCCAUGCCGCGUGUAUGAAGAAGGCCUUCGGGUUGUAAAGUACUUUCAGCGGGGAGGAAGGGAGUAAAGUUAAUACCUUUGCUCAUUGACGUUACCCGCAGAAGAAGCACCGGCUAACUCCGUG